rnacentral:rRNA from 1 species
UGAGGAAUAUUGGUCAAUGGGCGAGAGCCUGAACCAGCCAAGUAGCGUGCGGGAUGAAGGCCCUUGUGGUCGUAAACCGCUUUUAUCAGUGAAUAAAGUGCACCACGUGUGGUGUCAUUGCAGGUAGCUGAAGAAAAAGGACCGGCUAAUUCCGUGCCAGCAGCCGCGGUAAUACGGAAGGUCCGGGCGUUAUCCGGAAUUAUUGGGUUUAAAGGGAGCGCAGGCGGGAGUAUAAGUCAGCUGUUAAAUAUCAGGGCCCAACUCUGUUAUGCAGUUGAAACUAUAUUUCUUGAGUACGCACAGGGAUGGCGGAAUUCAGGGUGUAGCGGUGAAAUGCUUAGAUAUCCUGAAGAACUCCGAUCGCGAAGGCAGCCAUCCGGAGCGUAACUGACGCUGAGGCUCGAAGGUGCGGGUAUCGAACAGGAUUAGAUACCCUGGUAGUCCGCACGGUAAACGAUGAAUACUUGCAGUUCGGCCUUUUAGGUCGAGUUGUCCAGCGAAAGCGUUAAGUAUUCCACCUGGGGAGUACGCCGGCAACGGUG